CCCAACUAUCCCUAUUAAUCAUUACGUUGAUCCUAGAAACCAACAAAAUAGGUUCGAACGUCCUAUUUCAUUAUUCCAUGCUAAUGUAUUCAAGCUAAAGCCUGCUUUAAACACUCUAAUUUUUUCAAAGUAACAGUCCUAACUCCCCAUAACACCAAAUUAAUGACAUCAUGGUUCGUCAGAAAGGAGAGACCAAUGAUACCAGUACGUACCGAAGGCACGACCGACAUAUUGAUCCCGAAAUUCAACUACGAGCUUUUUAACUGCAACAACUUUAAUAUACGCUAUUGGAGCUGGAAUUACCGCGGCUGCUGGCACCAGACUUGCCCUCCAA
rnacentral:misc_RNA from 2 species